CCCCUUCCAUUAUUUUUGGCUUCUUUCAAAAUGAAAUUUUUUGGAGGGGCCAAAAUUUAUAUUCCAAUCUAACCCUCAUUGAUUUUGUUAUAUUUCAAUUUUGCCCUUCAGAAAAUAGAAGCCGAUAACUAGUGUUGAGCUCUGGUCAUGCAUUCUGGUUCAUUUAUGCAAAUCCUUGUGCUUUCUCUGGCUGUGUGUUCCUGUGCUUCCUUGAUUUCGAGCUCUGGCCGUUAGUUCUCGCUUCUGCAAAUCCUCAUGCUUUCUUGCUCGUGUAGAGCUCUGGCUGUGCAUCUUGUUAGAUUCUUUAAGCUCUCGUCGUGCUUCUUGUUGGAUUCUCUAAACUCUCGCCCUGUGUCUUGUCUUCGGAGCUCUCGCCAUGCUUUGUACUGUCGAACACUAGCAAAUAGAACCGUCAGAACCUAGAUGUAGACGUUAUACAGGAUGUAGACAUUGCUGGAGGAAAUGAAAGUGGUCAAGAAAAUCAAUAUUACCUAGAUGUAGACGUUCUGUUGUGGCCUGUUCUUCCUCAUUGAAGUACUCAAUUUGUUGUUAUAUUCAGUGGACUGUAUGUAACCAACUGAAAUCAAUUCAUUCUAAUGCUAAAUUCUGCUUUCAUUACUCUUA